CACUUCAUUGCCAACCCAGGCCCAUAUGGGCUGCCCAGAGAAGGGUAUGUUUUUCAGUUGUGGGGGUAGGGAAAAAGUUUUUAAAAGCUUCUGUGAUGAUGUGAAGCUGGGUUCCCUUACACCCACUGUUCCUAAGUGAUCCAGAAUUUAACCCAGUCCGCUGGAGAGAACUAGGACGGUGACUGGAAACCUGUGGAGAGCUGGUUGACGUUCCAUAUAAAUCUGGAGUGGUGGCACUUGCCUGUGAUUCCAGCACCGAGGAGGAGAGGCAAGAGUUCAGGACAGUGACAGUUGUAUAAAAACCAUGAUUGAUUAGCCAGUCGCCAUGUUCCAUACAAGCCAGGGGAUUGUGGCCAUCGAUUUGCACAGGCUACCUAUAUGAUGGCUGCUCACCUUGCCUUUGCGAGUCAACCUUGCCACUUGGCCCCUACUACUCUGAGGCAUAUUGGGGUUGGAAAUUUCAGCAACAAAUUGGCGCCCAAUGUGAGACUUAGAAUUCAACUAAGGGUUCUACAGAGAGCUACGGAGAGGCUCCCUCCCAAGCCCCAAGCAAACCACAGCACCCAGAGACAGCUCCCCAACCAUGAGCUGGGACUUACAGUGCCACAACACAGGGUUCCCCAAGCCUAAAGAAAGACCAAGGACCCUGGGUUAUGACUGCCUGUAAAACAGCCUUCACAACUAAAGAUCAACAACUAAAAAACUGACAGUUAACUUCACAAAGCCUUCUCACAGAUGUAAUAGGCUCUAUCUGGGACUCUCCGCUGAGCAAUCCUUCUUGUGCUUGAUUUCCUAUAUCCUCCACGUCUAAACAGGACGUGGGACAGUCAGACCCGCUCUUACACUACAGACUACCUGAGACUGACACGCAUACUGCUGGACAUAACCUAAGACAGAGACAAAACCAGAAAAAGCUGCUGGUCUCUCUACAGUGAGCCCCUCCCUUCAAAUAA